rnacentral:rRNA from 1 species
GAUGAACGCUGGCGGCGUGCCUAAUACAUGCAAGUCGAGCGAAUGGAUUAAGAGCUUGCUCUUAUGAAGUUAGCGGCGGACGGGUGAGUAACACGUGGGUAACCUGCCCAUAAGACUGGGAUAACUCCGGGAAACCGGGGCUAAUACCGGAUAGCAUUUUGAACCGCAUGGUUCGAAAUUGAAAGGCGGCUUCGGCUGUCACUUAUGGAUGGACCCGCGUCGCAUUAGCUAGUUGGUGAGGUAACGGCUCACCAAGGCAACGAUGCGUAGCCGACCUGAGAGGGUGAUCGGCCACCCUGGGACUGAGACACGGCCCAGACUCCUACGGGAGGCAGCAGUUGGGAAUCUUCCGCAAUGGACGAAAGUCUGACGGAGCAACGCCGCGUGAGUGAAGAAGGCUUUCGGGUCGUAAAACUCUGUUGUUAGGGAAGAACAAGUGCUAGUUGAAUAAGCUGGCACCUUGACGGUACCUAACCAGAAAGCCACGGCUAACUACGUGCCAGCCGCCGCAGUAA